rnacentral:lncRNA from 1 species
AAGGAACAUUUUUGACCAUGAAGGGAAGUGACUAGUUAAUAAAAAAUUAUAAUCAAAAUAAAAUAAAAAUAAAAAAUAAAAUAUGAUAAAAGAAAAAAAAAUGGAACAUUAUCCUGUGCUCCAUGUUGCACUAUGUUCAUGUGUGCGAGCCGAGGCGGGCACGCACGUGUGAAAUAUAAAAUCUACUUCCCCCCUAGGUCCCCAAGC